rnacentral:rRNA from 1 species
GACGAACGCUGGCGGCGUGCCUAAUACAUGCAAGUAGAACGCACAGUUUAUACCGUAGCUUGCUACACCAUAGACUGUGAGUUGCGAACGGGUGAGUAACGCGUAGGUAACCUGCCUGGUAGCGGGGGAUAACUAUUGGAAACGAUAGCUAAUACCGCAUAAUAUUGAUUAUUGCAUGAUAAUUGAUUGAAAGAUGCUAUUGCAUCACUACCAGAUGGACCUGCGUUGUAUUAGCUAGUAGGUGAGGUAACGGCUCACCUAGGCGACGAUACAUAGCCGACCAGAGAGGGUGAGCGGCCACGCUGGGACGGAGACACGGCCCAGACUCCUGCGGGAGACAGCAGUAGGGAAUCUUCGGCAAUGGACGAAAGGCUGACCGAGCAACGCCGCGUGAGUGAAUAAGGUUUUCGGAUCGUAAAGCUCUGUUGUAAGAGAAGAACGGGUGUGAGAGUGGAAAGUUCACACUGUGACGGUAGCGUACCAGAAAGGGACGGCUAACUACGUG